ensembl:piRNA 21ur-1907 ncRNA
UUGGUGCAUGUUGAUUUUUUG